GAAUCUCCUACAGGUCUUGCGACACAGUUUGCUUUUGAUUUGAUAAGCUUACUGUUACUUUAACCCUGUUGACAUUU